UAUUCAGAAUAAUAGUAGUGCUAUGUGACUAAAAUGAUUAAACCAGGUUUUGAGUAUAUUUCUUAUUGUUACAUGGGAAACACAGAUUCAGUAGAUUCUCACAAAUCCAACAAGACCAAGCACUACUGUAGGUAAGUGAGUGAGUCCAUCCUAGCCAGCAAUAAAAGCUAUCAUCUGUUAAAAUCCCAUUUAUAUUAUCCAUAUGGAUUUAGAUUAUGGGCUAAAAAGUUGUUACCAUCCAAAACAAACUCACUAAAAGCUACAAUGUUGUGUAAUGAUGGUAUGUGCUCCUGUAGACUGUAUGAUAUUAACCUUAUUUUGACAAAAAUGUGUCACCGCAAAGAACUAUAACAGUCCUAAAUUUAAAGAGUGACAUCUCAGAUAGGUGAAUGUCAUUGUUACCAGGUAAACAUUUUUUUUUAAAACCCCGUAAACCAGUUGUUUUGCUUCUGGUUCAAUUCAGUUCAAUUUAUUUCAUUUAUAUGGCACCAAAUCACAACAAAGUUGCCUCAAGGCACUUCACACAAGUAAGGUCUAACCUUACCCCCCUUUGCACUUAGUUAAUAUGAUAUAUACAUAUUUGACAGUAUACACCUGACAACAUGUGAUCGUCAAAUUAACAAAUUAAUUAAGUUGCGUUAGUAGAUGCUGGAUAAAUUGUUAAAAAUUACGAACAGCAGUGGCUGAAACUCAUGUAGUUUGUCUUCUGAGCACUGUGUGUGCUUGUCGAUUUCGUCUGCUCAGGUGACAACCUAGCAACUCCAUGAAAAAAACAUGACACCCACAACCUGGGUAAAUACAAGCUGAAAUAUAAAACAGAAUGGGAAGCUAAAACCAGAAUCAAAGAAUAGAUAGAAUGGGUGGCUGGGGAUAGUACCAAACUUACUUAUAGUACGAGUACUAUAAAGCAGUGAUGGCUAACUCAAAACAAUACUCAGUAAAAUUUUUAAAUGUGUUAUAUAUAUUGUCCUAUAGUCAGUUUCAAAAGGAAGACACCUCGAGCCGUGCUAAAUGGGGUCUCAAUAUGUCAACAACUGACUCAAAACAAUGUUUCAAAAACAUUCCAGUUGUUCUGGUGUUGAAACAUAAAACACAAAUGAAUGAACUAUUGUUUUCCAAUUUUGGAUUUAAAGAUUACAGUUAGCGCACGGUCUGUACGUACACUAGUGCGUGCAUUGUUUGAAUUUAAUUCCAUAAAAUACCCUGUACAAAGUGGGAUGAUGCAUCAGGUCACUAAGAGACACCUUUUCACUGUGGCUUAUUUUAAUAAAA